ACUGGAGAGAGGUGAUAGUGGGAUUUCUGAUCUAUGGAUAGAAUUUAAGAAUUAGCUCUGUAUAAGAACCUCUGAUUGCUCAAGGUAUGCUCUUUCAAGAUCCACCAGAAGAUGGGGAAUGAAGGAGAGGGAGCUCACUGUAAGGGUGUUCUCCCCAUCGAAAAUAUCCAAACUGUCAUGCCAUCAGCAUGUCCAAGAAUCAGUCUGCAAAACAAAGGAAGAAGAAUCUGAAGGUGAACCGCUGAGAAGGAAGUACAACAGCU